GUCUGUUAAUCGAAAGUAAAUUGCUAAAGGAAGUAUGGACAUACACUGAUCAUAAGUGAUGGGUUAUAUUAGGCAGAAAGUGAACAGUCAGUUCACUUGAAUUUCAUGUGUUGGAAGCAGGUAAAAUGGGCAAGCGAAAAGAUCUGAGUGACUUUGAGAAGGGCCAAAUAGUGAUGGCUGAACAACUUGAUCAGAAUAUAUCUAAAAUUGCAAGUGGG